UACGAAGGGGGCUAGCGUUGCUCGGAAUUACUGGGCGUAAAGGGCGCGUAGGCGGCACUGUUAGUCAGGCGUGAAAUUCCUGGGCUCAACCUGGGGACUGCGCUUGAUACGGCAGAGCUUGAGGAUGGAAGAGGGUCGCGGAAUUCCCAGUGUAGAGGUGAAAUUCGUAGAUAUUGGGAAGAACACCGGUGGCGAAGGCGGCGACCUGGUCCAUUACUGACGCUGAGGAGCGAAAGCGUGGGGAGCGAACAGG
rnacentral:rRNA from 1 species